UCCAAGAUGCCAUAUACCGGUUUUCUAGUAUUCUACCUUCCACAGCCAGGCUGCCAGCAGUAAGCAGUCUAGUUCCAUCCACAGAGAUAUACAGACUUUAAAGAAAUUAAUCGGAGAAAGAAAUCUGGACUCAUGAAUGCAUAAUAAAGUUCAGAUAAUAUGGCCCGUCUGAAAUACUGCUGGAAGAUGAGCGAAAAAUGUCAAGGAAUCAUCAACAAC